GCUCAGGAUGAACGCUGGCGGCGUGCUUAACACAUGCAAGUCGAACGAUGAAGCAGAGCUUGCUCUGUGGAUUAGUGGCGAACGGGUGAGUAACACGUGAGUAACCUGCCCUUGACUCUGGAAUAAGCGUUGGAAACGACGUCUAAUACCGGAUACGAGCUUCAGCCGCAUGGCUAGGAGCUGGAAAGAAUUUCGGUCAAGGAUGGACUCGCGGCCUAUCAGGUAGUUGGUGAGGUAAUGGCUCACCAAGCCUACGACGGGUAGCCGGCCUGAGAGGGUGACCGGCCACACUGGAACUGAGACACGGUCCAGACUCCUACGGGAGGCAGCAGUGGGGAAUAUUGCACAAUGGGCGCAAGCCUGAUGCAGCAACGCCGCGUGAGGGACGACGGCCUUCGGGUUGUAAACCUCUUUUAGUAGGGAAGAAGCGAUGUGCUUGUCACAUCAUGACGGUA
rnacentral:rRNA from 1 species